CAACCCUUACGCCCUGUAGCGUAGUGUUAGGACUCUACUCUUUCGAGAGCAGUUCCCUAAAACCAGUGGCAGUGUUCGGUACACUCAUAGCGUAGUAAUUCUUCUCGCUUCUGCAGUGGCCCGUACUAUUCGCCGUAAAACCCCUAAUUUUCUAAU
rnacentral:misc_RNA from 2 species